rnacentral:rRNA from 1 species
UACGUAGGGGGCAAGCGUUGUCCGGAUUUAUUGGGCGUAAAGAGCGUGUAGGCGGCCAGACAGGUCCGUUGUGAAAACUGGAGGCUCAACCUCCAGACGUCGAUGGAAACCGUCUAGCUAGAGUCCGGAAGAGGAGAGUGGAAUUCCUGGUGUAGCGGUGAAAUGCGCAGAUAUCAGGAAGAACACCCGUGGCGAAAGCGGCUCUCUGGGACGGUACUGACGCUGAGACGCGAAAGCGUGGGGAGCGAACAGG